AUUGAACGCUGGCGGCAGGCCUAACACAUGCAAGUCGAACGCCCAGCAAUGGAGAGUGGCAGACGGGUGAGUAACGCGUGGGAAUCUACCUGAUACUACGGAAUAGCUCCGGGAAACUGGAAUUAAUACCGUAUGUGCCCUAAGGGGGAAAGAUUUAUCGGUAUCAGAUGAGCCCGCGUUGGAUUAGCUAGUUGGUGGGGUAAUGGCCUACCAAGGCGACGAUCCAUAGCUGGUCUGAGAGGAUGAUCAGCCACACUGGGACUGAGACACGGCCCAGACUCCUACGGGAGGCAGCAGUAGGGAAUAUUGGACAAUGGGCGAAAGCCUGAUCCAGCCAUGCCGCGUGAGUGAUGAAGGCCUUAGGGUUGUAAAGCUCUUUCAGUGGGGAAGAUAAUGACGGUACCCACAGAAGAAGCCCCGGCUAACUUCGUGCCAGCCGCCGCCGUAACAC
rnacentral:rRNA from 1 species